CCUACGGGAGGCAGCAGUGAGGAAUAUUGGUCAAUGGGCGGGAGCCUGAACCAGCCAAGUCGCGUGAGGGAAGACGGUCCUAUGGAUUGUAAACCUCUUUAGGCGGGGAGCAAUGCCGGGCACGCGUGCCCGGAGGGAGAGUACCCGCAGCAUAAGCAUCGGCUAACUCCGUGCCAGCAGCCGCGGUAAUACGGAGGAUGCGAGCGUUAUCCGGAUUUAUGGGGUGUAAAGGGUGCGUAGGCGGAUUUUUAAGUCAGCGGUAAAAUGUCCGGGCUCAACCCGGGCCGGCCGUUGAAACUGGGGAUCUUGAGUGGGCGAGAGGUAUGCGGAAUGCCUGGUGUAGCGGUGAAAUGCAUAGAUAUAACGAAGAACUCCGAUGGCGAAGGCAGCAUACCGGCGCCCGACUGACGCUGAGGCACGAAAGCGUGGGGAUCGAACAGGAUUAGAUACCCGAGUAGUC
rnacentral:rRNA from 1 species